GACAGAGGGGGCAAGCGUUGCUCGGAAUCACUGGGCGUAAAGGGCGCGUAGGCGGGAUGGCAAGUCGGUCGUGAAAUCCCCGGGCUCAACCCGGGAACUGCGUCCGAUACUGGAAGGCUUGAAUCCGGGAGAGGGAUGUGGAAUUCCUGGUGUAGCGGUGGAAUGCGCAGAUAUCAGGAGGAACACCGAUGGCGAAGGCAGUUCUCUGGGCCGUAACUGACGCUGAGGAGCGAAAGCGUGGGGAGCGAACAGG
rnacentral:rRNA from 1 species